CUAUAUUGGAGCCCACAGGCGAGGGAAGACAGUAGGUGGGAGAGUUAAUUGUGAUGAUGGGGCUGGAAGUGUGGUCAUGCGGUUUGGUAAGACACGCGACAAAUCCCCGCGCCUAACCUGGGAACGGCGCUUGUGACGGACAGCAUAGAGUACGGCAGAGGGGAGUGGAAUUCCACGUGUAGCAGUGUAAUGCGUAGGAGUGUGUAGUAACACCAAUGGCGAAGGCAGCCCCCUGGGUCGAUACUGACGCUCAUGCACGAAAGCGUGGGUAGCAAACAGGAUUAGAUACCCGGGUAGUC
rnacentral:rRNA from 1 species